AUCCAACUGCGCUGCCUACACUCAAGAUGCGUGCACGGGAUUGUACGAGCAAUGGGCACGUGACAACUGCGCACACUACUGUAACCUCUGUCCAGCGACGGGUUCUGGUGGUGUAAUAACCGGAUCCGGUACCGCGGCACCGGGCACUGGGACAGGGACGGGAACGGGAACCGGCACCGGCACUGGCUCUGGAUAUGUGGAAUACAGUGGCGGUUGCGUAUAUAAGGGUCGGUAUUACGGAGCUGGUGACCAUUGGUAUGACGGCUGUGACUACAACUGUACAUGUGAAAACGGACAGACGGGCUUCUACAGGUGUGGAG